GCUAGUGGCCAAGGCAAAUAGUUGUAACAGAAUCAAGUAUAAAUUAAAUUUUAAAAAAGGGACCCAGGUACUAUUUUAUCAUCAAAACUAACAUUCACAUUAUGCAUUUUUUUAAUCCAACUUCUGGGCUUCAGGGUAUGAAUUGAUAGCUGCAGUGGUCAGGAAGGAAAUCCCCCAUCUCUAGGUAUGGUACUGCCUGGUGCAUUACUGUGGGGAAAGGGGACUGUUAGCUUGAGGAAGCAUUAGUAAUUGCUAGGGGAUAAAGUAUGGGAAUUGAAGGAUCAAAUUGUUCUGGCAUGUCAAAUUCUUUUGUGUCUCUGGCUUCAGUCACCCAAUAUGUUACUCUUUUGCAAAUACCUCUGACGGGGAAGGGUCAUUGCCAUUAUGGAAUGAUUGCAGAGUGAACGCAAAAGUUUUGUCGUAGUGCUGUGUGUCACAGCAGCCCUGGGAUCUGCUCGGCCAAGAUAAACUACACCAAAAUCCCUCCCUGGAGCUAGAAGCUGCAGUGGCUUAGCGAACUGAAAGCUGCCUGGGGUCACAAGUGAAAACUCAAGUCGAUGGAGUUGUCAUCCUAAGUCCCUGUUGUUUUUUCCUCAUCACAAAGUAGGUCACAUUUUGGGUGCAGAUUCUGAGCUGGUGUAAAUGGUCACACUUCUAUUGAAGUCAACAGCCUAUGACAAGUUGCUCCAGCUGAGGAUCUACUCCUUGAUGCAUAUUCAAGAGAGGUCCACAAGUGGAAGAUCUAUGGGCUUUGCCAGGUCAGGAAUGAAGUGACUUGACGUCUGUGGAUACACUUGUAGUGUACAUGUGUCCAGCAAGUGCUGCUAUUCCUUCAGUUUCAUGACCACUGAGGUUUCUUUGGUUAGUUUCCCAUUUUGCCAUUAUAUAUAUAUAGUUGUCUAUAGUGCCUUACCACUUAUGUGAUCCAUUUAUGUUUCUUGAAUGAAGUGGAUCAGCUGGGAAAAACCCCUCAAUUAAAUAGAAGUGACUUGUGAAAAUCUCAUGUUAAAUGUUCCAUAUUGUGCUCAUACAACUGCUGAAGUUAGUAAUGGAAAGAAUCCUGACACCACAGGGGAAGCUCUGAGUGAGGAAGCAGAUAGCACCCGAGAGUAAAGAAAUAGCAUCAUUAUUCAUAGUGCAUCUAUUAUGGCAUCAGUUCUUAACACUGAAGAGUGGCGUGAUCUGUUUCAUCCCUGGGUAACUUGCUGGCAAAAGGCAAAAUUAAGUGAGGCCAGUUUAAAAGCUGUAAUUAAAAUAAUGUAAUGCAGAUGGCAGUACAUGUCGUCCUGUUACCACAAUACUUUAUAUUCUUCUAUCAUUCCUCAUAAAUCUCAAAGCAGUUUAGAAAGGAAACUCUUGUUGUUCCCCACUCUAUAGAUGGGGAAACUGCAGAACAGCAACAUGAAAUGACUUAAGUGUUGAGCUCUGAUCGCUUGCUCUCAGAGAAAAUACUUCGCAUGGGUCUCCCCACUGCCCCUUGUGUUUGGUUUUGGGGGGUUAUUGUUCCAAACCUCAAGAAAGGGGCAUGGGGUAGGAGUCAAGACUGAUCUGAAGCUGCAGGCUCAUGGCCCAACAUUCGAUGCGACUUAGUUCCAUAUUAAGGUAAAGUGAAAGAAGGGAGGAGGGUGCGUUCAGUUACCUUCUAAAUGGAGCUGGGGUUCCUGGCAACGGGAGAAUAAUGCCAGGCAUAGUUAGCAGGGGGGACAAGCUAACAGGAAGAAGGGGCUGAGCAUUUGUAGCUCUCACAGAUGUUGGAAUUCUGGGGUGCUCAGGUGUCAGUGAUCGCUUCUGAACUGAACUGACAGCUAAAGUUAAGGAAGGGUUGAGCUCUGGGAUUUACUCACAAAACAAGGUAGCUUGUAUGGGGGGAAUGGAAAAGAACUGACUGGGAAAUAGCACCGAGCUUUCCUGAGUCCCUUUCUAGUGCUGCCACUUAAGUUAGUUUUUUCUGUCUCAUGUACAUUUUAAAAGACAUCUGAAAUCAGUAGGGAGAAAUCUUCCCUAGCACAAAUGUAUCUUCAAACAGCUUUUAGCACAUCCACAAUUGGGUUUGUGAGUUCCUUUUUUGUUCCUCUUACAUCCUUCUCACAGGCUCAUUUAACUGAAUUUCUGUCUCUAAAGACAUUUUCCUAGGACUUCUGAGACCGAGGAGUGUUUGCGCGUGCCCCUCCCCGUCGCCCCCGCCGCUGUCUUUGUAGGCUCAAUUGCUGAUUGCUGGGAACAUAGUCUAGUGCUUAAAGCGUAAGGCUGGGCUGCAGGAGACCUCUGUUCUCCUUUCCUUGGCUCUGCUAUUGCUAUUCUGUAUGACCUUUGGGAGGUCCCUUUCCCCAUCUCUAAAAUGGGGAUAAUUCUUAACCUUAAAGGCCAAUUGUGAUUGGUUUGUUAAUCACGUUUUUGAAAGCAUUAUUUGUAUUCUGAUACCACCCACAGUAUGCUGGGCUCUGUCCGAAGACAAAAUCCUUGACAUGAAGAGCUUGCAAUCUAGGAAAUCAAGACCUUUUAGCAAUUUGGGGCACGGGACCUGGAAGGGGUGAUUGGCUAGGGAAGCGAAUGUGGAGUAUUUGUCACCAGUUUUCUGUAACAGUGAUUAAGAAUCGAACCAUUGGCAGAGCAGCCAGUAGAGGGAGCUGAAUGCAUUUGUCAGUUUGGGAAAACAUCCAGACCUGAAAUUGCAUUGCGAAACUGGCUCUGCUACAUUAAAGGAUUUAUUUUUCCAUUGAAAUGGGAUGGCGACGUCAUUUUCUUACAAAUGGAAGCUCUGUGUCCUGAUGCCCCUGGGGAAGUAUUCCCUACCAAAAGCACCCAGGGGGAAAUAAUUUAGUUUUCCCAGGUUUCUGGGUGGGACUGGAGCUCUGGUGCUCAUUGUUAGAGGACCCCUGAAAUCUUUGAACCGGCCCCCUUUUGCUGCCAGCAACAUCUGGCUGAAGCGUUAAGCAGAGGUGCCGAGCCUAUGCUCCAUACUGCUGCAGAAUCCUGCUUGCUCAAGGCAGGGUGGGGAUGGGUGGACAAAGGCCCACCUUUAUAUUUUUAAAUAGGUGACUGGUUGCAAGCUGGACCCAGACAGAUGAGCAGCAUUUCCAGCAGAUUCUAAAUCCUGGCUUAUAUUUCCAGCUGCUGCUGCCGUCCACAUGUGUUGAAGUCUCUGACGCUCAGCCUGCCACUCCUGAAAUGGGUGGGAUUGUGUAUGAACAUCGGUCCUGUGUCCUGAUCCCAACUUCUCCAGGGCUAGAAAGCGGGGAGAGAUUUUGUAUCACAUGAUCUGACAGCAGUGGAAUCUGUUGCGUACUAGUAUUUUAGGGUGCGGCAAGAGGACUUGGUGAGCAGGGCCUGGGUUGAUCUCAUGUGACUAUUCCGGGAGGGGGCUCAUGCUCUCUUGGAAACGAGAUUCUCCUACUUUGGCCCCGGCGUUGUAUAUUUUUAUGAAGUGCUAGAGGAGGCUGCAAAGCAGCUGCAUCACUCGAUGAUUUAUCACCAUCACGUUGGGAGAGCAGGGAAAUUCCCAGCUUGUGUUUCAAACUGUAGAAUGUAGAAGUUCACGAUGUAGAAGUUUUAUGGUUAUGCUGCGGGGAGGGAUUGGGUUACCCCCUUCUGUCUCUGGAUUUGGUCAACCUUGAGUCCUUAACUCUCUUUUUCUACAGCGAGGGCAGGUGCUUUAGGAGUGUGGGGUCCCGAAAGCUCUAGCAUGGGGAGAUGGCAACUCCAAGGUUCUUUAGGAGAGGAGCCUUCCCCACGUGCGAUGUGUUUUUAACACUCACUCUGUUAGGUAGGUAACAUUCCCUUCCCCGGCUUUCCUGGCAUGGCUUGUCUUUUGGGGUUGGUUAUACGCAAAAUGCAAAUGUUGAAAAUCAUGGAUCAGGCCCCUCUUCAAAUUAGUUUAAAAAUCAUAGAUUUUAACUUGUGUUGGGUUCUUUCUCUGCUCUCUGGUUUUGAGCUUUUAUGGGUCACGUUUUCAAGUUUUUCUCUGCAUGAAAGCUGAGACCUUCACCUACUCGGGUGACUCCAGGCCCAGACAUCAUGGGACUCCCAAUAAAAUUGUGAAAGUUGA